rnacentral:rRNA from 1 species
AGCGAACGCUGGCGGCAGGCUUAACACAUGCAAGUCGAGCGGGCAUCUUCGGAUGUCAGCGGCAGACGGGUGAGUAACACGGGGGAACGUACCCUUCGGUUCGGAACAACUCUGGGAAACUGGAGCUAAUACCGGAUACGCCCUUAUGGGGAAAGGUUUACUGCCGAAGGAUCGGCCCGCGUCUGAUUAGCUUGUUGGUGGGGUAACGGCCUACCAAGGCGACGAUCAGUAGCUGGUCUGAGAGGAUGAGCAGCCACACUGGGACUGAGACACGGCCCGGAAUCCUACGGGAGGCAGGAGUGGGGAAUAUUGGAAAAUGGGCGCAAGGCUGAUCCAGCCAUGCCGCGUGAGUGAUGAAGGCCUUAGGGUUGUAAAGCGCUUUUGUCCGGGACGAUAAUGACGGUACCGGAAGAAUAAGCCCCGGCUAACUUCGUG